rnacentral:rRNA from 1 species
UACGGAGGGUGCAAGCGUUAUCCGGAUUUACUGGGUUUAAAGGGUGCGUAGGCGGGACUUUAAGUCAGCGGUGAAAGCUCCAAGCUUAACUUGGAAAUUGCCGUUGAUACUAUUGUUCUUGAAUUCGGUUGAGGUAGGCGGAAUGUGGCAUGUAGCGGUGAAAUGCUUAGAUAUGCCAUAGAACACCGAUUGCGAAGGCAGCUUGCUGGACCUGUAUUGACGCUGAGGCACGAAAGCGUGGGGAGCAAACAGG